GUCUGGAACGUCCAAGAGAAGUCAGCCGAGGUCAUAGUAGCUACGAGGAACGAGCCAUAAGAACUAUGGAGGUCUCACAGAAGUAGUGAAGGAC
rnacentral:ncRNA from 1 species